rnacentral:rRNA from 1 species
CCUACGGGGGGCAGCAGUGGGGAAUAUUGCGCAAUGGGCGAAAGCCUGACGCAGCAACGCCGCGUGAGCGAUGAAGGCCUUCGGGUUGUAAAGCUCUGUCAUUGGGGACGAAGUCUUGAGUGCUAAUAGUGCUCAAGGUGACGGUACCUAAAGAGGAAGCCCCGGCUAACUACGUGCCAGCAGCCGCGGUAAAACGUAGGGGGCGAGCGUUGUCCGGAAUUACUGGGCGUAAAGGGCGUGCAGGCGGCUCAGCAAGUCAGAUGUGAAAGACCCCGGCUUAACCGUGGAUGUGCAUUUGAAACUGCUGGGCUUGAGGGCAGGAGAGGAGAGCGGAAUUCCCGGUGUAGCGGUGAAAUAUGUAGAUAUCGGGAGGAACACCAGUGGCGAAGGCGGCUCUCUGGACUGGCCCUGACGCUGAGGCGCGAAAGCGUGGGGAUCAAACAGGAUUAGAUACCCUGGUAGUC